GAUGAACGCUGGCGGCGUGCCUAAUACAUGCAAGUCGAGCGAACAGACGAGGAGCUUGCUCCUCUGACGUUAGCGGCGGACGUGUGAGUAACACGUGGAUAACCUACCUAUAAGACUGGGAUAACUUCGGGAAACCGGAGCUAAUACCGGAUAAUAUAUUGAACCGCAUGGUUCAAUAGUGAAAGACGGUUUUGCUGUCACUUAUAGAUGGAUCCGCGCCGCAUUAGCUAGUUGGUAAGGUAACGGCUUACCAAGGCAACGAUGCGUAGCCGACCUGAGAGGGUGAUCGGCCACACUGGAACUGAGACACGGUCCAGACUCCUACGGGAGGCAGCAGUAGGGAAUCUUACGCAAUGGGCGAAAGCCUGACGGAGCAACGCCGCGUGAGUGAUGAAGGUCUUCGGAUCGUAAAACUCUGUUAUUAGGGAAGAACAAAUGUGUAAGUAACUAUGCACGUCUUGACGGUACCUAAUCAGAAAGCCACGGCUAACUACGUG
rnacentral:rRNA from 1 species